AUUGAACGCUGGCGGCAUGCCUUACACAUGCAAGUCGAACGGCAGCACGGGUGCUUGCACCUGGUGGCGAGUGGCGAACGGGUGAGUAAUACAUCGGAACGUACCUUAUCGUGGGGGAUAACGCAGCGAAAGCUGUGCUCAUACCGCAUACGCCCUGAGGGGGAAAGCGGGGGACCGAAGGACCUCGCGCGAUUAGAGCGGCCGAUGCCUGAUUAGCUUGUUGGUGGGGUAAAAGCCCACCAAGGCGACGAUCAGUAGCUGGUCUGAGAGGACGAUCAGCCACACUGGGACUGAGACACGGCCCAGACUCCUACGGGAGGCAGCAGUGGGGAAUUUUGGACAAUGGGGGCAACCCUGAUCCAGCAAUGCCGCGUGAGUGAAGAAGGCCUUCGGGUUGUAAAGCUCUUUUGUCAGGGAAGAAACACCGGCUCUAACACAGUCCGGGAAUGACGGUACCUGAAGAAUAAGCACCGGCUAACUACGUGCCAGCAGCCGCCGUAA
rnacentral:rRNA from 1 species